AAGUUGUAGCUCCCUGGAGCCCUCAAUUUGCCCAAGUAGUUUCCUGUGACCUCUCGCUAUGGCCGUGCACCAGCUUCUCACAUGGGAAUCUGGACCAGGGAGACAUGAUGCUCCGUAGGCUUCACUGGGACACACUGAGCGCCCUCCUUCAGCCAACAAUAUUGUACUGGCGGACUUCUUUUCAACUCUGAUUCCCAAUGUGCAAAUGUUAGGAGACAGCUGCCCGAGUCCAGCCAUCUCAGGUACUUGUAGUUAACUGCAGUCCAGAGAUACAAAGGAGAAGAUUCUGAAAGUCAGGAGCAGAAGGGAGUCUCAUGCAGGUGGCAGUUCUUGUUUGUGGAGACUCCGCAGCAGCUGAGUGGCUGGACCGGGAAGUGGAAGCCUCUGUAAUGUAGCUCCAACAGCAAUGGUGGACACCAUCAUGGUUACCUGCACGGCACAGGUGGUUACAGAGCAGCACAGGACAUAUCUCUGCUGUCAACACCUCAUGUAUACACUGUGGCCCCAGAGUAGUAACUUUACACAGUGCUGAGAUAAAACCCGGGCAAGCACAAUGGGAGGGAGGGAGGGUUUAAUCUGGCUCACAGCUCUUGUCACAAAAUGCAGGAAGGAAUCCACAAAAUUCUAUUGACCCUUCCUCUACUUUACAAACCUAGACUCUAAUUUUCAAGCAGAUGAAAGCGGUUCCAGUAUGCCCUCUUACCCCUCUUUGUCAUUUCCCUUUUUCUACAUAUUUAUCAAUUUUGCCUUAUUGUUUAUUUCUAAAACUUUCACUCCCAUUACACAGUCAUCUAAUUGUGUUUAUAUAUGCUUUCCAUUCUUGGCCAAUCUCUGACUUUUCUUUUUUGCAUCUUUUAUUUCCCCCUUUUUUUUUCUCAACUAUAAUUUUUGGAAGAAUUUCGAUUUUACUUAAAAAAACCCUCAUGUUUUAAGUUUUAUUCUCUCUUAUUUAUUAAUAUAUAUAAUCUCAUUUUGUUUUGAGUUUCCUUAUUAGUAGGAAAUCUUUGUUUUUAUUGCUUGCUUGGUUUUUUUUUUCCUUAAAAAUUUUGUCACAAUAUCUUGCUCUAUUCCACCUGUAAAAUUCUUCUCCAUUUCUCUUCUUCAUAUUUAUUUAUUGUCUUCUAUUUCAUUUCAACUUCUUUCUAAAUUACAUUCAUUUACUCUUUUCACAUUUCAUUUUUCAAUCGAAAACAUUAACAUCAUAGGACACUCUGCAUUAGAUCUGCCUCUUUGGUUUUGUGCUCAUUGGUGAUGUAUUGGAGGGACUGCAUGGGUUUCCAUUGUGUCUCUCUAUCUCAGUUUGAUGUUGCUAUCACAAAUGUUUAACUUCAUUCUUCUGCUUGUUACUGAGAAUUGGGCC
rnacentral:lncRNA from 1 species